CCUACGGGAGUCAGCAGUGAGGCAUAUUGGUCAAUGGGCGAGAGCCUGAACCAGCCAAGUCGCGUGAAGGAUGACGGCCCUACGGGUUGUAAACUUCUUUUGUCAGGGAGCAAUUGGGUCCACGCGUGGGCUUAGCGAGAGUACCUGAAGAAAAAGCAUCGGCUAACUCCGUGCCAGCAGCCGCGGUCAUACGGGGGAUGCGAGCGUUAUCCGGAUUUUUUGGGUUUAAAGGGUGCGUAGGCGGAAUAUCAAGUCAGGGGUAAAAAUUCGGGGCUCAACCCCGUCGUGCCGUUGAAACUGAUGUUCUUGAGUGUGCGAGAAGUAUGCGGAAUGCGUGGUGUAGCGGUGAAAUGCAUAGAU
rnacentral:rRNA from 1 species